UAAAAAACAGAUGAAUUGCUGAGAACUACAGCUUUUUUUGUUAGACUGCUUUAGGUAUAAUUUGAGACUGGUAAUGAAGAAGACACUGAAUAUGCUGCCUACUAGCCCUAAGAGCAUAAAAACACUUGACCGUUCUGAAAAAGACCCUCUCUGCUGUUUCAGGACCACACUGAAUAAAGAUGGAUCUGGCUGAAAGAGGAUCAUGUCCUCCCCCUGGCCUCCUGGUAGUCCUCCCCUGAAGGAGAGUCCAGUCUGCAGCCAUGAGCUUAAUGCAGGUGUUUGAAGCAGCUGGACUUUAUGGAGACUGCUCUCUGGCUUGUCCACACACUGACAGAAAGGAGACGACCUGACUGCUCCACAGCUGUGUGACUGUAGCAGCCUGAGCUGGAUGAUGUCUGGACACAGUGGAUGGACCAGGUGCUGCAGCUCGUGAGUCAAGACUACAAAAAGCCUUAAAGAUGCUCAAUAUCAAGUCUCCAGGAAAGGAAGCAUUAACUGAUGCAUUCCCAUUGUUCUAAAUAUAAAUCCUGUGCCUCUGAACAAGUAGUUUCCUGCUGUGUUUGUUCAAAGCCGUUUCCCCUCAGCUGUUCAUGGCUUUAACCCUUGACCUGCGGAUAUAUUUAAAGACAUUUCAAAUAAAUGGUUGAAGGCACAAGGACUUCAGGCUUUUCUUUUUCCAACAGUAAUAGCAAGCUUAUUAAAAUGCUGUUUUGGGACAUGAAUGUGCCCUGCAUGAGGUGGAAAUGAAUAAAAUGACUCAAAUACCAUA